UACAGAGGUGGCAAGCGUUGUUCGGAAUUACUGGGCGUAAAGGGCGCGUAGGCGGUCUUGUAAGUUCUGUGUGAAAUCCCUCGGCUCAACUGAGGAACUGCCUUUGAAACUGUCGAGCUUGAGUCCGGGAGGGGGUAGCGGAAUUCCCAGUGUAGCGGUGAAAUGCGUAGAUAUUGGGAGGAACACCAGUGGCGAAGGCGGCUACCUGGACCGGAACUGACGCUGAGGCGCGAAAGCGUGGGUAGCAAACAGG
rnacentral:rRNA from 1 species